AGUUUGAUCAUGGCUCAGAUUGAACGCUGGCGGAAUGCUUUACACAUGCAAGUCGAGCGGCGAGCGCGGGGCAACCUGGCGGCGAGCGGCGAACGGGUGAGUAAUACAUCGGAACGUGCCCAGACGUGGGGGAUAACUACUCGAAGAGUGGCUAAUACCGCAUACGAUCUAAGGAUGAAAGCGGGGGAUCGCAAGACCUCGCGCGUUUGGAGCGGCCGAUGGCAGAUUAGGUAGUUGGUGGGUAAAGGCUUACCAAGCCCGCGAUCUGUAGCUGGUCUGAGAGGAUGAUCAGCCACACUGGGACUGAGACACGGCCCAGACUCCUACGGGAGGCAGCAGUGGGGAAUUUUGGACAAUGGGCGAAAGCCUGAUCCAGCCAUUCCGCGUGCAGGAUGAAGGCCCUCGGGUUGUAAACUGCUUUUGUACAGAACGAAAAAGCUCUUUCUAAUACAGAGAGUCCAUGACGGUACUGUAAGAAUAAGCACCGGCUAACUACGUG
rnacentral:rRNA from 1 species